rnacentral:rRNA from 1 species
AAUCAACGCUGGCGGCGUGCCUCAGACAUGCAAGUCGAACGCGAAACCUUCCUUCGGGAGGGGAGUAGAGUGGCGCACGGGUGAGUAACACGUAGGUAAUCUACCUUUGGGUGGGGAAUAACAGCCGGAAACGGCUGCUAAUACCGCAUAAUGCAGCGGCUCGACAUCGAGACAGUUGUUAAAGCGGGGAUCGUAAGACCUCGCGCCUAAAGAGGAGCCUGCGGCAGAUAGCUAGUUGGUAAGGUAACGGCUUACCAAGGCGACGAUCUGUAGCCGGCCUGAGAGGGCGGUCGGCCACACUGACACUGACAUACGGGUCAGACUCCUACGGGAGGCAGCAGUCGGGAAUUUUGGGCAAUGGGCGAAAGCCUGACCCAGCAA